rnacentral:rRNA from 1 species
AGGGAAACUUACGCUAAUACCGCAUACGACCUUAGGGUGAAAGCGGAGGACCUUCGGGCUUCGCGCGGAUAGAUGAGCCGAUGUCGGAUUAGCUAGUUGGCGGGGUAAAGGCCCACCAAGGCGACGAUCCGUAGCUGGUCUGAGAGGAUGAUCAGCCACACUGGAACUGAGACACGGUCCAGACUCCUACGGGAGGCAGCAGUGGGGAAUAUUGGACAAUGGGCGCAAGCCUGAUCCAGCCAUGCCGCGUGGGUGAAGAAGGCCUUCGGGUUGUAAAGCCCUUUUGUUGGGAAAGAAAAGCAGCCGGUUAAUACCCGGUUGUUCUGACGGUACCCAAAGAAUAAGCACCGGCUAACUUCGUGCCAGCAGCCGCGGUAAUACGAAGGGUGCAAGCGUUACUCGGAAUUACUGGGCGUAAAGCGUGCGUAGGUGGUUGUUUAAGUCCGUUGUGAAAGCCCUGGGCUCAACCUGGGAAUUGCAGUGGAUACUGGGCAACUAGAGUGUGGUAGAGGAUGGCGGAAUUCCCGGUGUAGCAGUGAAAUGCGUAGAGAUCGGGAGGAACAUCUGUGGCGAA